rnacentral:tRNA from 1 species
GGAAGCGUGGCCGAGUGGAUUAUGGCACUUGUCUAGAAAACAAGAGAGUGUAACAGCUCCGCAGGUUCGAAUCCUGCCGCUUCCGCCA